rnacentral:tRNA from 1 species
GGAAGGGUGGCCGAGUGGACGAAGGCGGAUGCCUCGAAAGCAUCUGUGGGUUCACGCCCACCGUGGGUUCGAAUCCCACCCCUUCCG